AGAGUUUGAUCCUGGCUCAGAUUGAACGCUGGCGGUAGGCCUAACACAUGCAAGUCGAACGGUAACGGACCGCUGGGAUUCCUUCGGGAUGACCUUGGUGCCGACGAGUGGCGGACGGGUGAGUAACACGUAGGAAUCUGCCAAACAGUGGGGGACAACCCGGAGAAAUCCGGGCUAAUACCGCAUACGCCCUACGGGGGAAAGCGGGGGACCUUCGGGCCUCGCGCUGUUUGAGGAGCCUGCGUCGGAUUAGCUUGUUGGUGAGGUAAAGCCUACCAAGGCAACGAUCUUUAGCUGGUCUGAGAGGAUGAUCAGCCACAUCGGGACUGAGACACGGCCCGAACUCCUACGGGAGGCAGCAGUGGGGAAUAUUGGACAAUGGGGGCAACCCUGAUCCAGCAAUACCGCGUGUGUGAAGAAGGCCUGAGGGUUGUAAAGCACUUUCAAUUGUGAAGAAAAGUUAAUGGUUAAUAACCGUUGACCUUGACGUUAACUUUAGAAGAAGCACCGGCUAACUCCGUGCCAGCAGCCGCGGUAAUACGGAGGGUGCAAGCGUUAAUCGGAAUUACUGGGCGUAAAGCGUGCGUAGGCGGUUUAUUAAGUCAGAUGUGAAAGCCCCGGGCUUAACCUGGGAACUGCAUUUGAAACUGGUCAACUAGAGUAUGGUAGAGGAAAGUGGAAUUUCUGGUGUAGCGGUGAAAUGCGUAGAUAUCAGAAGGAACAUCAAUGGCGAAGGCAGCUUUCUGGACCAAUACUGACGCUGAGGUACGAAAGCGUGGGUAGCAAACAGGAUUAGAUACCCUGGUAGUCCACGCCGUAAACGAUGAUAACUAGCCGUUGGGGGGAUUUACCCUUUAGUGGCGAAGCUAACGCGUUAAGUUAUCCGCCUGGGGAGUACGGCCGCAAGGCUAAAACUCAAAGGAAUUGACGGGGACCCGCACAAGCGGUGGAGCAUGUGGUUUAAUUCGAUGCAACGCGAAGAACCUUACCUGGUCUUGACAUCCUGCGAACUUUCUAGAAAUAGAUUGGUGCCUUCGGGAACGCAGUGACAGGUGCUGCAUGGCUGUCGUCAGCUCGUGUCGUGAGAUGUUGGGUUAAGUCCCGUAACGAGCGCAACCCCUAUCCUUAUUUGCCAGCACAUUAUGGUGGGAACUAUAAGGAGACUGCCGGUGAUAAACCGGAGGAAGGCGGGGACGACGUCAAGUCAUCAUGGCCCUUACGACCAGGGCUACACACGUGCUACAAUGGGAAGGACAAAGAGCCGCGAAGCCGCGAGGUGUAGCUAAUCUCAUAAAUCUUUUCGUAGUCCGGAUUGGAGUCUGCAACUCGACUCCAUGAAGUCGGAAUCGCUAGUAAUCGUAGAUCAGAAUGCUACGGUGAAUACGUUCCCGGGUCUUGUACACACCGCCCGUCAUACCAUGGGAGUGGGUUGCACCAGAAGUGGCUAGUCUAACUUUGUGAGGACGGUCACCACGGUGUGAUUCAUGACUGGGGUAAAGUCGUAACAAGGUAACC
rnacentral:rRNA from 1 species